rnacentral:piRNA from 1 species
UGGAGCAAGUGGAGGCCAUGGAUGCC